AGCGAACGCUGGCGGCAGGCUUAACACAUGCAAGUCGAACGCCCCGCAAGGGGAGUGGCAGACGGGUGAGUAACACGUGGGAACGUACCCUUUGGUUCGGAAUAACUUGGGGAAACUCAAACUAAUACCGGAUAAGCCCUUAUGGGGAAAGGUUUACUGCCGAAGGAUCGGCCCGCGUCUGAUUAGCUAGUUGGUGAGGUAGUGGCUCACCAAGGCGACGAUCAGUAGCUGGUCUGAGAGGAUGAUCAGCCACACUGGGACAGAGACACGGCCCAGACUCCUACGGGAGGCAGCAGUGGGGAAUAUUGGACAAUGGGGGCAACCCUGAUCCAGCCAUGCCGCGUGAGUGAUGAAGGCCUUAGGGUUGUAAAGCUCUUUUACCCGGGACGAUAAUGACUGUACCGGGAGAAUAAGCCCCGGCUAACUUCGUGCCAGCAGCCGCGGUAA
rnacentral:rRNA from 1 species